AGCAGCCGCGGUAAUUCUAGCUCCAAUAGCGUAUAUUAAAGUUGUUGCAGUUAAAAAGCUCGUAGUUGAAUUUCGGGGGUUAGUAGGUUGGUCAUGCCUCUGGUAUGUACUGGUCUCACUGAUUCCUCCUUCCAGAUGAACCUUAAUGCCAUUUAUUUGGUGUUUUGGGGAAUUUGGACUGUUACUUUGAAAAAAUUAGAGUGUUUAAAGCAAGCUAACGCUUGAAUACAUUAGCAUGGAAUAAUGAAAUAGGACGUUCGAUCCUAUUUUGUUGGUUUCUAGGAUUGACGUAAUGAUUAAUAGGGAUAGUUGGGGGCAUUAGUAUUCAAUUGUCAGAGGUGAAAUUCUUGGAUUUAUUGAAGACUAACUACUGCGAAAGCA
rnacentral:rRNA from 1 species